rnacentral:rRNA from 1 species
AGUGAACGCUGGCGGUAGGCCUAACACAUGCAAGUCGAACGGCAGCACAGUAAGAGCUUGCUCUUACGGGUGGCGAGUGGCGGACGGGUGAGGAAUACAUCGGAAUCUACUUUUUCGUGGGGGAUAACGUAGGGAAACUUACGCUAAUACCGCAUACGACCUACGGGUGAAAGCAGGGGAUCUUCGGACCUUGCGCGAUUGAAUGAGCCGAUGUCGGAUUAGCUAGUUGGCGGGGUAAAGGCCCACCAAGGCGACGAUCCGUAGCUGGUCUGAGAGGAUGAUCAGCCACACUGGAACGGAGACACGGUCCAGACUCCUACGGGAGGCAGCAGUGGGGAAUAUUGGACAGUGGGCGCAAGCCUGAUCCAGCCAUACCGCGUGGGUGAAGAAGGCCUUCGGGUUGUAAAGCCCUUUUGUUGGGAAAGAAAAGCAGCAGGUUAAUACCCCGCUGUUCUGACGGUACCCAAAGAAUAAGCACCGGCUAACUUCGUG